rnacentral:rRNA from 1 species
GAUGAACGCUGGCGGCGUGCCUAAUACAUGCAAGUCGAGCGAACGGACGAGGAGCUUGCUUCCCUGAUGUUAGCGGCGGACGGGUGAGUAACACGUGGAUAACCUACCUAUAAGACUGGGAUAACUUCGGGAAACCGGAGCUAAUACCGGAUGAUAUUUUGAACCGCAUGGUUCAAAAGUUAAAGACGGUCUUGCUGUCACUUAUAGAUGGAUCCGCGCUGCAUUAGCUAGUUGGUAAGGUAACGGCUUACCAAGGCAACGAUGCAUAGCCGACCUGAGAGGGUGAUCGGCCACACGGGAACUGAGACACGGUCCAGACUCCUACGGGAGGCAGCAGUAGGGAAUCUUCCGCAAUGGGCGAGAGCCUGACGGAGCAACGCCGCGUGAGUGAUGAAGGUCUUCGGAUCGUAAAACUCUGUUAUUAGGGAAGAACAUAUGUGUAAGUAACUGUGCACAUCUUGACGGUACCUAAUCAGAAAGCCACGGCUAACUACGUG